UCCGUAGGUGAACCUGCGGAGGGAUUCAUUACAGAGUUGCAAAACUCCCAACCCUUUGUGAACGAACCUGACAGUUGCCUCGGCGGUAGACCCUUCUGGGGCUAGCCCUCGCGGGUAGUCCGCCGAAGUCCCAUAAACUCUUGAUUAUUUUGGUAUCUCUGAGUAGCUUAUAAAUAAGUUAAAACUUUCAGCAACGGAUCUCUUGGCUCUCCUAUCGAUGAAGAACGCAGCGAAAUGCGAUAAGUAAUGUGAAUUGCAGAAUUCAGUGAAUCAUCGAAUCUUUGAACGCACCUUGCGCCCCUUGGUAUUCCAAGGGGCAUGCCUGUUUGAGUGUCAUUAAAUUCUCAACCUCAUAAACUUUGUGUUUGUGAGGCUUGGAUGUGGGAGCUUUGCUGGCUUGUAACAGAGUCGGCUCUCCUGAAAUGCAUUAGUGGAUUUAGCGCUUUUGCAAACCACAUUGGUGUGAUAAUUAUCUACGCCUUUGACCAAGUGUUUGCAGUCUGGGAGGUUGCAGUGUAACAGCUGCUCUUUCUGUGGAUGUUGAAUCCGCUUCAAACCGUCCUAAGUUUAUUGGACAACUUUGACUUGUUUGACCUCAAAUCAGGUAGGACUACCCGCUGAACUUAAGCAUAUCAAUAAGCGGAGGA
rnacentral:rRNA from 1 species